ACCGGUUGGAACUUGCCUUAA
rnacentral:miRNA from 1 species